UUGACCUCAGCCCUGUCUCUUGGCAGAGGAGACAAUACGAGUGUAAGAAACAGCUCAUUGUUUGGAGGAAACUAAGCCAAGCAGCUUGAUGUUUUUGCAGCAUAAAAUAUGAGGCUGGAAGUGGUGUAAGCUGUGUGCCCUCAAGUUUGCCUAACAACAUGUGUGCUCAAUGGGAGGAAACUGACACAUGUUUGAAGAAUGAGUUACACCAAGCUGAGGAUGGAAACUGCCAAAGCACCAGAAGUAGAGCACAGAGAAACCCCAGGACUGUUUUGGAAAAAUGAAGAAAAUGCAGGAAACAGGCCAAAUGCCAUGGGAUACAGAGGUGCUGACUGAGCAGAGAGACACACCCCAAGGUCCUCACUCUUUCAGAGGCCAAGACGGGAUGAAAUUAAAUCCACGUGGCAAGCUACAAGGCAUCACACCCAGCAUGGAGC